GAUGAACGCUGGCGGCGUGCCUAAUACAUGCAAGUCGAGCGAACGGACGAGAAGCUUGCUUUUCUGAUGUUAGCGGCGGACGGGUGAGUAACACGUGGAUAACCUACCUAUAAGACUGGGAUAACUUCGGGAAACCGGAGCUAAUACCGGAUAAUAUUUUGAGCCGCAUGGUUCAAAAGUGAAAGACGGUCUUGCUGUCACUUAUAGAUGGAUCCGCGCUGCAUUAGCUAGUUGGUAAGGUAACGGCUUACCAAGGCAACGAUGCAUAGCCGACCUGAGAGGGUGAUCGGCUACACUGGAACUGAGACACGGUCCAGACUCCUACGGGAGGCAGCAGUAGGGAAUCUUCCGCAAUGGGCGAAAGCAUGACGGAGCAACGCCGCGUGAGUGAUGAAGGUCUUCGGAUCGUAAAACUCUGUUAUUAGGGAAGAACAUAUGUGUAAGUAACUGUGCACAUCUUGACGGUACCUAAUCAGAAGGCCACGGCUAACUACGUG
rnacentral:rRNA from 1 species